rnacentral:rRNA from 1 species
UACGUAGGUGGCAAGCGUUGUCCGGAUUUACUGGGCGUAAAGGGCGUGCAGGCGGUCUGUUAAGUUCAGGGUGAAAGCUCCCGGCUCAACUGGGAGAGGUCCUUGGAUACUGGCAGACUUGAGGGAGGUAGAGGAGAGUGGAAUUCCCGGUGUAGCGGUGAAAUGCGCAGAUAUCGGGAGGAACACCAAUUGCGAAGGCAGCUCGCUGGGACGUUACUGACGCUGAGACGCGAAAGCGUGGGGAGCAAACAGG